AGCAAGCUGGACGGCCGCGGGAGAUGCGCGAAAGCAAACUUCCGAGGAAAGUCCGGGCUCCGAAGGGCAGGAUAACGGCUAACGGCCGCCGGGGGUGACCCCAGGGAAAGUGCAACAGAAAAUUACCGCCGCGGCAGUAAUACCGCGGUAAGGAUGGAACGGCGAGGUAAGAGCUCACCAGCGUCAUGGAGACUUGACGGCUAUGCAAACCCUAUCCGGAGCAACACCGCAGAGGGACAUUAUGCGCCGGCCCGGCGCGUCCCGGGGAGGUGGCACUGAGCCGCGGCGGCAACGCCCGGCCAAGAUAGAUGGUCGUCUAAACAGAACCCGGCUUAUAGGUUUGGUC
rnacentral:RNase_P_RNA from 1 species